GUAUGAAUUUUAAAAUAUUUUUGAAAUAUAACACAGCGAAACAUGUAAAUUAAAUAAUUUAAUCUAUAAAUGCAUGUAAUCAAAUUACUAAACCCUACAAUUAGGACCUAUAACAUGUCAUAUUGCAUUUAUAAAUCAAAAAAAUAAAAGUUUUAGUAUUGAUCAAAUCAAUACCCUAGAUCUAAAAUAAUUUUAAAUCUAAAAUCUAGAUCACAUCUAGAUAAGAGAAGAGAUC
rnacentral:lncRNA from 1 species